AUCUUUCUGGUUCAUGAGUAUGAUGAUUGGUUGAAUCACGGAAUAUCUGUGAAAGGUGCAUCCCACACCUUGUUACGCUAUGUGCCUCAGCCCUUCUGACC